GCUUUCUCCAGCCUCCCUGCAGAACUCCACCACGUCUUUACACCGUGUCUCUGAAGUGAUGGGAACUUCGGUUAGAACCUGCUCGCUGGAGCUCCGAAACACGGGGAUGAAGAUCUGUGGAAGGAAGUGAAGUGAGCGGGGUUGAGCUCAUCGAAGGUCUUCCUGAUCUCUCGUCGUCUUCCAGCGAUGUUCUUCCGCUCUUGAACCGCACGUGCUGCUCGAACAACUCGUACGUCAAAUAAAGUCUAAAAACAAGCAUUUCCUGAAGACUAUGAAGCCCACGCUGAUAAGAUCAUCCAACCCGACGUUCAGGCGUGAUUUAGGGCACUGAGAGGAGCUCAGGCUGCGUCACACUGACGAUCUCGAAUUUACAAAGGAGUUACAUAACAGCUCCCAAAAGAACUGUUUUUUUUUUUUUUUUUUAAGAUCCCCGCUGGGGUGUUUCAUAGAAAGGCUUCACACACACACACACACACACACACACACACACACACACACACAAUAAUGCACACA